rnacentral:rRNA from 1 species
AACGAACGCUGGCGGCAUGCCUAACACAUGCAAGUCGAACGAGACCUUCGGGUCUAGUGGCGCACGGGUGCGUAACGCGUGGGAAUCUGCCCUUGGGUUCGGAAUAACAGUCGGAAACGACUGCUAAUACCGGAUGAUGACGUAAGUCCAAAGAUUUAUCGCCCAGGGAUGAGCCCGCGUAGGAUUAGCUAGUUGGUGGGGUAAAGGCCUACCAAGGCGACGAUCCUUAGCUGGUCUGAGAGGAUGAUCAGCCACACUGGGACUGAGACACGGCCCAGACUCCUACGGGAGGCAGCAGUGGGGAAUAUUGGACAAUGGGCGAAAGCCUGAUCCAGCAAUGCCGCGUGAGUGAUGAAGGCCUUAGGGUUGUAAAGCUCUUUUACCCGGGAUGAUAAUGACAGUACCGGGAGAAUAAGCCCCGGCUAACUCCGUG